AUACGGAGGAUGCAAGCGUUAUCCGGAUUCAUUGGGUUUAAAGGGUCCGCAGGCGGGACAAUAAGUCAGAGGUGAAAUCCUACGGCUCAACUGUAGAACUGCCUUUGAUACUGUUGUCCUAGAGUGUAGUUGAGGUAGGCGGAAUAUGUCAUGUAGCGGUGAAAUGCUUAGAUAUGACAUAGAACACCAAUCGCGAAGGCAGCUUACCAAGCUACUACUGACGCUCAGGGACGAAAGCGUGGGGAUCAAACAGGAUUAGAUACCCUGGUAGUCCACGCUGUAAACGAUGGUCACUCGAUGUUGGCGAUACACAGUCAGCGUCUGAGCGAAAGCAUUAAGUGACCCACCUGGGGAGUACGACCGCAAGGCUGAA
rnacentral:rRNA from 1 species